AAGAGUUUUUAUUGUUUAGAAAUUAUAUUAAUAUUUUAGUUAGGAAGUUUAUUUUAUUUAGUAUUCCGAAUUAUAAUAAAUUAGGGUUUAUAUUCUUAAAUUGAUUAGGGUUGUAUACUCUACAAAUAGGGCUAAAUCUUAUAUUAUUAUUAGUUUUGAGUAUAUGAUUAGUAAUUGAAAAUAAUACAAUUUGAGAAUUAGUUCUCUUUUUCCUUAAGGAUUUAUUCCUUGUUCCUCUUUGUUCUACACCACAAGUCACAUGGGUUUCCAAAACCAUUCCCUAAAUCCUUUCAAGACUCCUAAGGCAACGGCAUCAUUCUUACGUUUAUUGCAUGAUAAAUGAUCAAACAUAAAACUGGAUGCAAAUUCACAAGAAGGUUGCUUCUGCAAAAAGUAAGCAUGCAGACAAGUAAUUCAGUCAAGGAAAUAUUGCA
rnacentral:misc_RNA from 1 species